AGUAAUGUCUGGGAAACUGCCUGAUGGAGGGGGAUAACUGCUGGAAACGGUAGCUAAUACCGCAUAACGUCGCAAGACCAAAGAGGGGGACCUUCGGGCCUCAUGCCAUCAGAUGUGCCCAGACGGGAUUAGCUAGUAGGUGGGGUAACGGCUCACCUAGGCGACGAUCCCUAGCUGGUCUGAGAGGAUGACCAGCCACACUGGAACUGAGACACGGUCCAG
rnacentral:rRNA from 1 species